GGACAGGUGCCGGAGUGGUCGAACGGGCUCACCUGGAAAGCGUGUGUAAUGGAAACAUUACCGUGGGUUCGAAUCCCACCCUGUCCGCCA
rnacentral:tRNA from 1 species